rnacentral:rRNA from 1 species
CUUGACUGUAUCCUGGAAUUGAAUUCGGGCUUCUUCUGCGCAGCCUAGGUGGGAGGCUAUGAAGAUUUCCUUCCGGGGAAGUUGGAGCCAUCAGUGAGAGACCACUCUGGAGAGGCUAGAAUUCUAACGGUGAUCCUUGAAUCAGGACACUAGACAGUUUCAGGUGGGCAGUUUUUCUGGGGCGGAAGCCUCAUAAAGGGUAACUGAGGCGCGCAAAGGUUCCCUCAGUCUGGACGGAAAUCAGACAACGAGUGUAAAGGCAAAAGGGAGCUUGACUGCAAGACCUACAAGUCGAGCAGGAGCGAAAGCUGGCCUUAGUGAUCCGACGGUGCCGGGUGGAAGGGCCGUCGCUCAACGAAUAAAAGUUA